GGAUUAUAAACAAUAUAUAUGUGACACAGCAAAAUAAGGAAAAGUUAAUGGAUGUAAUUACUGGAGAGAGCAUUCCAGGUAUUCAAGGUGGUGGUGUUUAGGGAAGAAGGCCUAUUUCAACUUGCAUGGGAAAAACACUUCCCCAUUAGCAUCUGCAGAUGGCCCCAAACCUGCAUGCAAGCCCACAGCUCACCAGGUCUGGGCUCUCAUUCAGGUUGAUUUUCUCGAUGAUGCAUUGAGUGUUAGGCAACGCAUAAUAUACAGCUAAGAACCAGUCUGUUGCUUAACACUCAAUGUUUUGGGUUUUUUUUUUUUUCCCAUUACCUCCCCAGUACAUGAAAAUCCUAUUGAAGAAGCAGAAAAAAAAAAAACUAAAGGAAGAACAAAAACCAUGAAGUAGGUGUAGAGGCUCCUGGACAGGGAAGCUGCAGCCCCUGAGGCAUGAAGCACCUCAGCCAGCUGGCAGAUGGAGAUGUUUUCAGGCAGUGAAACCAGAUCCUGUGAGAAGUGUGGGUCUCGCUUAGCCCUGCAGGCAAUUAGACCUCUGCUUUCAGCACAGUGUUUCCUUCCAAAAACAUGGAGCAGUCAAUGCAGUUGGCAUUUUCUCCCAAAGCGCCAUGUACCUCCUGUGAAUGAUGGGACAGAUUGCUGCCGGCUCACAAUGGCACCCUGGGUCUCGGAGCUCCUGCUGGCUCUUUGUUUGCUCUGGAAAUAAUUCUUUUUUCCACCAGGAGGUAGGUAAUGGUGCUGGUGAUGGUGCUGGGGAUGAGCCAGACUGUGGCCUGCCACCAGAGAGCUGCAAGUGAUGCUUAACCCUGCACCAGAAAAAUGGGGCCAAAUGAUUGUUACCAAAGACCCUCAGCCCAGGAAUGUGUGUGUUCAGGCUGCCGUUACCUUAUAGUCAUCAUAAAGGGCAGGAGGAAGUAUUGUGAAAGUCCUCACAUGGCUACUUGUGACCUAGAGUGGCUUGGUUCACUAUGACAAAGAUCAAGUAUUUUAGUAUAAGUCACUGUAAUUAGUGCCCAGUGGUUUUAGGAGCUCAUUUCCAGCCCUGGCAAACAAUCAGCAGUCACUGGGGCUUGGUGUAUGGGGAGGAUGGUGGGAAUUCAUCUUGCUUUGCCUUCAGUAUGAGGAUAUUAUCAGCUCCCGCUCUACAGAGUGAGGAGUUUCUCACAAAUUUCUCUGUUAUUAUUAGCAUUGCUCUUAGUUAACUGGCACAUUGAGUACUUAAGGACAGGUGGAGUUGACUCUCUCUUUUCCUUAGGUCUGGGAACAGAAAUAAAGUCAUGUUUUAGCUGUCACAUUCAUACCUUUAUUUCUUAUGUUCAGCACCUGGACAAUGUUGAGUACGAGGUAUUUAGUUAUUAAUAUAUUAAAUAUCUGUUCGGUCUUCUUCCGGCACUUCAGCAUUUUUAUAUCACAAAUUAAAUCUCCCUUAGGAAUUUUCUUAGCUAAGCCUCUGCCCUUUACACCCAACAUUUUUGGAAAAUGAAAAUGUCUGGGAGGAGAGGAAGUCCAAAUGCAUUCACCAGAAUUGGUCGUGGUGUGACUUCUUGGUGAUUAAAGGCAAACUAAAAAAUAACCAGUUACCAAAGAGCCCGUACUUUUAAAGAGAAAAUUAUGUUCUGGGGAAAAUUUGAACAUUUUUAAGAAUUUAGGGAAACGGGCAAAAUCAGAGACUUUUCCACCAAAUGCAUCUUAUUGUGUAUGUGGAAGUAUCUGCAGCUGGCACAUCUCAGCUGGAGCAUUCCUCCUGUUUGCUCUGCCCUCCCCCCCAGUCCAGACUGCGCAGCACUGGCUUAGCUGAUGCUCACACAUUUCCACCAUGCUUAUUCUGAUUUAUGUUAUUGUUGUCACUUUCAGAUACGCGUUGCCUGCAAGGCAAUUAGACAAAAAUGUCUUACUUGGAGCCAAGCACUACAUUUAUGGUGCUGUAUCUCACACUACAGAAAAUAAAUGGAAAAGGACUGUACUAAAAGAUCUUAUGGUAUUUUAUACAACACAUAGAGGGAGAACUGCCUCCACUGCAACCAUGUUAAGAAGAGGACAGCUUCAUUAAACAUCCAAGUAGAUGAACAAAUAUAUUUAAAAGCUGACUCUUGUGUAACGUGAAAUUAAGUGAAUGCAAUUUUUUUUUUUUUUUUUUUUUUUUGCCAAUUACUUGUCACAGUGUCUCUUGUAGGACUUCUCUGAAUCAAAAUGGCUCGCAGGCCCAAUGACAGCAGCUGGAAACUGCAACAAUGGGGAUCUCCAUCAGUAACAUUGCAAUGGAUCUCAAAGCUCUGCUACAUCAGCUUGAAAGCUGUGCAAGAUCUGUAGUAUGCAGCAAACAUGAGGAAACGUCUAUGAGUACUCUUGAGGGGAAAUGUGUAUGUAAGGCUCUUUGGGCACUAACCAAAAUCAUAUUAUUUUUCAGCAAAGUUUACAUUGCUUUUUCAUACACAAAACUCAGUGUUUGGAAAACUCAUUUUCCUAAAUUGCUUUCUCUGAAGGAAGGCAUCAUAUAGUGGUUUAUACAGCAUUGGGCAAAAAUUAUUUUUAAGGAUCAGGUCACUAUGGUAACCACUUCUUAUCUCAGAAUCAAAAAGCAGUUAUGAUUGUAAUUAAAAAAUGUAUGCUGCCUACCAAGAAUUAUUCUGAAUUAUAAUUCAUUUUCUGUCGCAUAUUUGAGUUAUUUAUAUUGUUCCCAAAGGCAUUGCCUUUUAUUAUAA
rnacentral:lncRNA from 1 species